rnacentral:rRNA from 1 species
CGGCAAAAGCUCAAAUUUGAAAUCUGGCUCUUUUAGGGUCCGAGUUGUAAUUUGUAGAAGAUGUUUCGGGUGUGGCUCCGGUUUAAGUUCUUUGGAAUAUUACAUCAUAGAGGGUGAGAAUCCCGUAUGUGACCGGCAGCCUUCGCCUAUGUGAAACUCUUUCGACGAGUCGAGUUGUUUGGGAAUGCAGCUCAAAAUGGGAGGUAUAUUUCUUCUAAAGCUAAAUAUUGGCCAGAGACCGAUAGCGCACAAGUAGAGUGAUCGAAAGAUGAAAAGCACUUUGGAAAGAGAGUUAAACAGUACGUGAAAUUGUUGAAAGGGAAGCGCUUGCAACCAGACUUGCACGCAGUUGAUCAUCCGGUGUUCUCACCGGGGCACUCUGCUGCGUUCAGGCCAGCAUCGGUUUUGGUGGUUGGAUAAAGGCCUUGGGAAUGUGGCUUCCUUCGGGGAGUGUUAUAGCCCUCGGUGCAAUGCAGCCUACCGGGACCGAGGACCGCGCUUCGGCUA